rnacentral:rRNA from 1 species
GAUGAACGCUAGCGGGAGGCCUAACACAUGCAAGCCGAGCGGUAUUGUUUCUUCGGAAAUGAGAGAGCGGCGUACGGUGCGGAACACGUGUGCAACCUGCCUUUAUCUGGGGAUAGCCUUUCGAAGGAAGAUUAAUACUCCAUAAUAUAUUGCACGGCAUCGUUUAAUAUUGAAAGCUCCGGCGGAUAGAGACGGGCACGCGCAAGAUUAGCUAGUUGGUGAGGUAACGGCUCACCAAGGCGAUGAUCUUUAGGGGGCCUGAGAGGGUGAUCCCCCACACUGGUACUGAGACACGGACCAGACUCCUACGGGAGGCAGCAGUGAGGAAUAUUGGUCAAUGGGUGCAAGCCUGAACCAGCCAUCCCGCGUGAAGGACGACUGCCCUAUGGGUUGUAAACUUCUUUUGUAUAGGGAUAAACCUACCCUCGUGAGGGUAGCUGAAGGUACUAUACGAAUAAGCACCGGCUAACUCCGUGCCAGCAGCCGCGGUAAU